rnacentral:rRNA from 1 species
AGAGUUUGAUCCUGGCUCAGGAUGAACGCUGGCGGCGUGCCUAAUACAUGCAAGUCGAGCGAACAGAUAAGGAGCUUGCUCCUUUGAAGUUAGCGGCGGACGGGUGAGUAACACGUGGGUAACCUACCUAUAAGACUGGGAUAACUUCGGGAAACCGGAGCUAAUACCGGAUAACAUUUAGAACCGCAUGGUUCUAAAGUGAAAGAUGGUUUUGCUAUCACUUAUAGAUGGACCCGCGCCGUAUUAGCUAGUUGGUAAGGUAACGGCUUACCAAGGCGACGAUACGUAGCCGACCUGAGAGGGUGAUCGGCCACACUGGAACUGAGACACGGUCCAGACUCCUACGGGAGGCAGCAGUAGGGAAUCUUCCGCAAUGGGCGAAAGCCUGACGGAGCAACGCCGCGUGAGUGAUGAAGGGUUUCGGCUCGUAAAACUCUGUUAUUAGGGAAGAACAAAUGUGUAAGUAACUGUGCACAUCUUGACGGUACCCAAUCAGAAAGCCACGGCUAACUACGUG